GAAUGAAUGUUCUCCUGAGUCACUGAAGAACGCCCCAAAGGAGAAGGGAAUAAGAAUUCCCAGGAACCUGCAAGACCUUCCUCCUUUACAGAACAUGCCUUUACGUGCAGCUGUUCGUGAGCUGAAAGAACGCUUUCAUCGUCUCGAAGUUGACUACGCCAGGCUGGAAGCCACAAUCCAGUGUCAAGCCAGCAUCAUUGAAAUAAUUGAGAAGUCGCGGCAAACCAAAAAGACAUGCAAUUGCUGCACCAUUCACGGAGGAGCGAGGCUCAAGCUACCAUGAGAAAUACAGUCAUCUCUCCAGUGCAGUUAAACCAGCAGUGCUUGAGCCGUUUCAGUGAAGACUCUGAGGCAAACUACACGG